rnacentral:rRNA from 1 species
UACCUGCAGUCGAGCGGUAGAGAGAACUUGCUUCUCUUGAGAGCGGCGGACGGGUGAGUAAUGCCUAGGAAUCUGCCUAGUGGUGGGGGAUAACGUUCGGAAACGGACGCUAAUACCGCAUACGUCCUACGGGAGAAAGCGGGGGAUCUUCGGACCUCGCGCCAUUAGAUGAGCCUAGGUCGGAUUAGCUAGUUGGUGAGGUAAUGGCUCACCAAGGCGACGAUCCGUAACUGGUCUGAGAGGAUGAUCAGUCACACUGGAACUGAGACACGGUCCAGACUCCUACGGGAGGCAGCAGUGGGGAAUAUUGGACAAUGGGCGAAAGCCUGAUCCAGCCAUGCCGCGUGUGUGAAGAAGGUCUUCGGAUUGUAAAGCACUUUAAGUUGGGAGGAAGGGUAGUAACCUAAUACGUUGCUACUUUGACGUUACCGACAGAAUAAGCACCGGCUAACUUCGUGCCAGCAGCCGCGGUAAUACGAAGGGUGCAAGCGUUAAUCGGAAUUACUGGGCGUAAAGCGCGCGUAGGUGGUUCAGUAAGUUGGAAGUGAAAUCCCCGGGCUCAACCUGGGAACUGCUUUCAAAACUGCUGAGCUAGAGUACGGUAGAGGGUGGUGGAAUUUCCUGUGUAGCGGUGAAAUGCGUAGAUAUAGGAAGGAACACCAGUGGCGAAGGCGACCACCUGGACUGAUACUGACACUGAGGUGCGAAAGCGUGGGGAGCAAACAGGAUUAGAUACCCUGGUAGUCCACGCCGUAAACGAUGUCAACUAGCCGUUGGAAUCCUUGAGAUUUUAGUGGCGCAGCUAACGCAUUAAGUUGACCGCC